ensembl:lncRNA
ACUUUGGAUCUUUUACUUUGAUAAAUAUCUCUUUCCCUGGAUGCGGUACUGCAGUAAUGAGUUUUUGCUCAUCAUCCAGGUGCCGUCUCAGAGAGGCUGUGCAGCGCUGGCUCAUUCUGUGGCCCUCAGACUGCAGAGCCUCAAGUCUGUCCUGAAGGAUAUAUCUGUCCCGAGGGAUCCCAUUCAUACCAAACCCCCAAACAAAUGUGAGUGCAUGUCAUAAAAUCUGCCAUGUUUGUAGAUUGAGAUUGAAAUGAGAGGCUUUAGCUGUGAAAUAAGGGAAAGCCUAAUGGGUUUGGACUGAUUCUAAACCGCGUGGGCUGAAGUUUUAUAAAUAACCAUGUUACUGUGCCCCACAGCUGUCCAUUUCCCUACUACUGCCCGGCCAACAGCUCUGCCAUGAAGUCUUGUGAAGGGGGUUCCAUGCCUGUCAACACCAGCGGGCUCAGAGGAUCCAAAAGCAGCUGCUGUGGUGUGUGUGAUGGAGGCACCUAUCGUCCGUAUCUCUCCCCCAUCCAACACUGCCUUCCAUGUCCGCCAGGAUACUUCUGCCCCUCGGGUACAGACCACUACAAGAGUAACCCUUGCCCCCUUGGGUAUGUCUGUCUUAUGGGAUCCACCAAACCAAUGCCCUGCCCCCCCGGCUCCUUCGGUAACCUCACUAAUAGUGAGUCACUGAGCAACUGUCACCCAUGUCCAGCCGGCACCUUCAACCACCUGGCUGCUCAGAAGGCCUGCUUUCCCUGUGGCAGCUCCUCCACCUCCCCAUCAGGUUGGGUCCCAUCAGAUAUCUAAAUUCAUGUUAAGUUACAGCUUCAAAAGAGUUCACUUGUACAGGAAGACAUCUCCAUGUCACACCUGUUUCCUUAGGGUCUUCGUCCUGCACCUGCAUUGGUAAGAACCGUGCUUUCCAGCACUCAGAUGGUUCAUGUUUGUGCAGAACGGGUUUUAUCUUCUACAAUGAACUGGAUUUCAAAAGCUCCACCUCUGACAGUGAACUGGACUGCCAGCCUGAGGUCAGUAGUAGAUCUAAUAAGGAAAUUCUAUAUUUAUUUUUUUGCUGUCCAAAGAAGAAGACAUACCUUUUAAUAAGAUACCUUUAUUUGACUCACACACACACACACACACACACACACACAUAGACAAACUCAAUAUUUUGUUAUUGUUUGAAUUUGUCAUUUCAUUCUUUCAAGAAUAUUAAAAAGCAUUCGCAUAGCAUUUUUCUCCCUACUUUUGAAUUUAUUCCAUUCUAAAGUUUUCAAAGAAAUGCACUCAAAUGUGUGGAUGGUUGAAAGUCUGCCAGAGAACUGUCAAGUUUCCCAGAAGCAUAUUAACAACCCUGACACCCCUCAGUGUUGACCAUCACAAAUAAAUGACCGAACUUGUGGAAAAUACCUUCUCUAACUCACCUGUUUGCCAUGAUUUUACUUUAUGAUUGUGCUUCUCUUCCGGGCAAUUGGAAAAAAAAACAAACUGUGAGAUGGGUGAAAUACUGUAAUAGUUUCCAAUCUUGAAUGAUGCAAUGGGCAGCAAGGUCUGUGUCUGUGUCUGUGUUUUAGGUGAACAGACGGUGUGCCACAGGACAAAUACGUCUGGCAGCAUCCAGAGAGUGUGUGUCACCUUCCCUCCACUCCUGUAAUAUCACCUGUGGACCACAUGGAGGAACUCUGGAUGUGGAGAUGGGCAUGUGAAUCUCAAUUGUGCUUUUCUAUUAUAUUGCUAUUUAAACCUGUAAAAUGCUUGUGAUGGUUGACGUAAUGAGUAUGGAUAGUAUCCAGUAAUAUAGCUUGACAUAGUAUUUGACCUCUUGUCUAAUCCUGAUGCCCCAGCUGCCGAUGUGAGCGGUACGUGUCUGCUGAAGAGCUCUGCAACACGUCCUGCCUUUCCAGACUGCCUCAGCUCUCUGCCCAGUUCUCCAUAGAUGGCCAAUUGCUGCUCAGCCUAAAAGAAAGAGGCAGCAUGGUCUGGGCCAGGGUAAGGUAGAGACGGCAGAUUAAAUUCUUAAGUAUUUAUUUUUUUACAGAUUUUGUGAUAUCGGCGAGAGGACAGUGAUAUGUAAGGCAAGAAUUUCAACAAAAUAGCUACUUUUCACUGGCUUCAUCAUUUAAUGAAUAUGAAUAAAUGAAAUAUUUAGGAGCACCCACUUUUAUCCUAUUGAGAAUAUAAUUUUAACACAGCAGUCUUUACUUAAAUACAGGGCAUUUAUCUUUUCUUCAAACUAUUUUGUGUUGCCACAAUCUCCAUUUUUGGCAAUUUAAAUUGAACAAAAAAUGCAAUUAUUUAUAGCAGACAUUGCCUCUUUUUGCCAGAUUCAGUAGUCAGAAUAAUAUACUGUAUAUGUUAUUAAUGCUGAAACACCAUAUUUCAUAGUUGUUCUUUAUUGCUUCUCCAAUGAGGGGAACACUUUACAGCGGUGUGAUGUUAUUUCAUUUUUAUUAUAUGCAAAGGCAUACUCGACAGAUUAAUGAGCGACGACAACUCUCUUAUUAGUUAUCGAUGACUUGUCAUUUUCUUUCUUGAAUUUAUGUAGUAUUCUGUUGUAUUGUGCUGUAGUGGCAGUACUCAUUGUGCUUGUGUCUGUUUCCUUCCAGGCUGUGAUGGAUGUUUUAGGACCAGAUAUCCAUACAAAGAAUGUUGGUGCAAUCCAUUUGGUCCAGUUUGACUCUGAAGGAGUGUUCGGUUGGAUUCCCACACAGAGAGAGCUUGUCAAUCAGUUUCUGUCAGGUGACGAGAUCAGACACGUCAUAUUGAUUCCAUUCUUUUUUAAAUUGCUUAUCAACACACUUGCUCUCUAUAUCCAGCAUAAUAUAACAGUAGAAUGUAACUGAUUUAACAGUGAUAUACCUCUAUUCAGAACCAAUCAAACUCCUAAAUACAAAACCCAGAAGGAGAAGAGAAACAGAAGACGAUGAUGAUGCUGCCGACGUAGCUGUCCUUCCUCGUAUCCCUAACCCCAUCGCCUGUCUGUCCUCCGGUGACAUGCUCAUUUUCCACCUCACCAUCAACCACACAGGUGUCACUAGUUUUCUUUGCUCGAAUGCUGGUUGUAUCAUGAUAGUGUGAUUUAUUUUUCUUAAUCUCAUGCUAACUUUAUUUUAUGUCCUGUAGACCGUCAUCUCAGCCACUUCCCAGUGUAUCAGAAAGACCACCUGUUUAACAGUAACCCCGGCUGGGACUUUGGUGCCUUCAGACGUCUGCAGAUACUCAUGAUGCAGACGAACUUCAACUCUACUAGGUAGUGUUGAGGAUUAACUGCAAGGUAGAGACUCAGGUGUUGAUCACUUUGUGACCAUAUCUGUCCCCUCCUUUUUCUCAGGUUUGCUCAUGUGUUUUCAGACACAGGCAAGUAUGUGUUUGUUGACAGCGCUGUCCCAGAGUGGAGUAUGGUGGUGGUGGUCAGCGAGGAGGGGACAGAGUGUGACCGUCGGGCUUCAGUCUUCCAGCCCAUGACCCCGGUACAGCUGGUCAAGUAUGGGAUUGUCAAGCAGCACAGACUCAACCUUCUACCUGACUGGGGAGUGAUAGCAGGUGUGUGUCCCUACUGUUCACCUCAUGUUUUAUCAUGCAGGAACAUGACUGUAAUGAGUUAACCCCCUGCUUUUUUUUUAUCAUGACACAAUACUAACUGUGUGUAGGGAUCCUGAGUCUGCUGCUGGUUGUUGUUGUGGUUGUCACCACCACAGUGCUUGUCCUGCGACCUGGCAAAGUAAAACUUGUCUCCCAGUGGAGGACAAAGCCAAAGUGGCGCAGCCUCGGGGAGCCCUUCUGUCCAGUGGAUAGUGUUUACAGUGGAGAAAGGUGUGUUGGCUUGACAUUAGACCUGAUGGUGUGUAUUGUCCAUGUGUCAGGAGACUAAUGUUGGGGGUACUAGUAGCACCUAAUAAGUGUGUAUCAUCAUUUAAAAUGACAUAAGGCAGCACAAGAUCAGCAUACAUUUAAAUGAUCUAUAGCUAUAGCUAUACAGAAAGUUCAGGUAAUGUUGCUGGACUGGCACCAUUUGUAUAGUUUAAUUUGUUUCCAUCAAAGCAGAUGUUUUUACCUUCCAAGAGGUUCAACAAACAGAUAUAUGAGGUCUUUCAUUCGUCCAGGUACUGGCUUUUUAAACAAAAUGUCAUUUGGCCUGUAUGUAGCUGUGGAUGUGAUACAGUACCCCUUUUCCUUUUUUCUUUCAUUUAUCUAUGUAUUCAUUAUUUUUCCACUGAUCCCUCCAGUUGUUUUGGUGACAAGUGACAAUAAGAGGGCUGAUGAUGAUGGUGACAUUUGACUCUCUUCAUUUAUUUGCGUAGUAUUUUGCAUAUGCAAGUUUUUUCAUUAAUUGUAUUUCCAGCGAUGUUGGUAACAACUAAUUUGUCAUAAAUUAUUAUUACAUUUUUUAACAAAGAUUUCACUUUAGAUGGGUCAACAAGUCUAAAAGUAAGUAAACAAUAGUUAAAAACUGAGCAUAAUGUUAACUGUCAUUUUGAACACUGAAAAAAAAGUCUACAAAGUACAAACAAUACUUUAGUUACAAAAAGUAGUUUAACGGAUGCUCGUUUUUUCAUGAAGCAGCAUUUAACUCGAAAAGACGUAACAUUUUAGCACCCAUGAUGUCAAUAUGUAACAUGAAAAUAUAUAAUGUGAUGUUUAACCAACUAGGAUUUCUGGUGCAGACUAUUGAGGUUAACAACGUUAAUCUACUAGUCAACUAAUCGCAUAAAAAUGUAGCUGUGUAUUUGUUUUUCAGCAUAGCUGUUCCAAGUCUAGGAGACUUCUUAGGCAGUAGGGGUGUAGGAGAGGGAGCAGAAGCUGAGGAGCCUGCUGUUUCGAAAGGAGGUAAGAUCACCAUUUCUGACCCUGUGCUGAGAGCCCUCCUCCAGAAACAUGAUUAAACCCCCUUAAAACUUAUGGAAGCGAUAUAAAGAAAUCAUGGUGUGUGCAGUGAGUGUGAUGGAGUUUGCAGUGAGUUUGCCAGCUGAGUCCUAGGAAAUGAUCUUGUGAAUUAUAUUAUGUUGUAUGCUGAAAUGGCCACAAAGCACAUAGUAUAAGGGAUUUUAUAGUGAGGGGCAACUAUC